AAUCAACGCUGGCGGCGUGCCUAACACAUGCAAGUCGAGCGAGAGGGGGUAGCAAUACCCUAGUAAAGCGGCGCACGGGUGAGUAACACGUGGGUAAUCUGCCUCGAAGUGGGGAAUAACACCGGGAAACCGGUGCUAAUACCGCAUAAUCUGGCGAAGUCUGCGGAUUUUGUCAGCAAAGGAGCAAUUCGCUUUGAGAGGAGCCCGCGGCUGAUUAGCUAGUUGGUGAGGUAAUGGCUCACCAAGGCUACGAUCAGUAGCCGGUCUGAGAGGACGGUCGGCCACACUGGAACUGAGACACGGUCCAGACUCCUACGGGAGGCAGCAGUGGGGAAUUUUUGGCAAUGGGGGCAACCCUGACCAAGCAACGCCGCGUGGGUGAUGAAGUCUCUUGGGACGUAAAACCCUUUCGACGGGGACGAAACCGCAAGGUUGACGGUACCCGUAGAAGAAGCCCCGGCUAACUCCGUGCCAGCCGCCGCCGUAAUAC
rnacentral:rRNA from 1 species